ensembl:lncRNA
CCGUCGUCCGGGGCCAGGGCCGAAGAGGCCUGCCAGAAACUGAAGCUGCACCGGGUGGUCCUGCUGUGGUCCCGGAGGCUGGCCCAGCACCGGCAGGCAGACUCUUUCUCCCAGAAAAGGAGGCUGCGGAUUCUUCAGAACGCCCUGCAGCAGUGGCGGUGGAAGGCCCAGGCAGCAGGGUCAUGCCCUGCCAGCUCCACUGACUGCCCCCUGGAGCCCUUUGCUGGCUCUCAGGACUCGGAGGAGCAGCCCCCCUCCUCAGGAUGCUCCGGCAGUGCUCCAAGUGCCCCCAGAAGCUCAUCAGAGGGGGUCCACAGCCCGACUGAUUGCAGCAGCUCCUUCCUGAGCCCAGCAGGGGAUGAGGUGCUGCCCCUGCGCUUGAGGUCACUUUCUUUGGAGGCCCCGGACUCCUGGAGGAUCUCCUUCCCUCUUGAGCAAAUGUGGCCCCAGCUCUGUAACCAGCAGGAUCCUGGACCCAGGAGACAGCUGUUGGCCCGCCUUCCUCCAGGAGAAGAAACGGGCCCCCUGGGAAAAGCUGUUCAGGUUCCCAGAGACCCCAGCCACUUGGAUGCCCCCCAGCAAGAGAUAAGGUGGCAGCAGGGGGCUCAAGAAGCCCCAGAACCCAAGCCGCAUUGGCAGGUCACACUCCAGAUCUGGAUCCUCACUGACCCAGUUGAGUUGACCGACCCUCAGGGACAGGACUGGAGGACAGCUGGGAAUCAGAUCCCCCGCUCCAGGCAGCAGGGUCUCCUGAGCUCUCCCUGGGCCCACCAGGAUGCAGCACUGCCCACAGGGAUGCCGAGGCAUCAGCUGACCAAGGACAAGGAGGGCACCUUUGUGGGCACCAGACCCAGUGUCCUGCACCCCCAGAGACUGGCCUUCAGAGGAAACCACGUCCUGGGUGCAGAUCCCGACACUCAACGCCAGCAGGCCGGCAACUACUGGACGAGGGCCACAGCCUUGGCUCCAGACAAGAGGAAAUCCCACAGCCACAUUGGACAGAGGAAGAUGUUAGCAAUUCUGGGUGGCCCAAAGCAGAACUUUCUGCUGCCUUCUUUCCCGUGUUUGCCUCUCCACUGUAGACGGACCAGCCAGGAGAAGCUGGGGAAGGCUCCUAGAGAACCAGCAGGCAGCGCCCGGUCGGUCCGGAUCCCCAGGAGCAGAGGACGCCCGAGAGCAGUGGUGCUGGAGGAAACAUGGCUAGAGAGAAAGUACCUCCAGAGGUGGAGACACAAGGUAUUGCUUCAAAGGUUCCAUGGCCAGCAAAGGAGGAGGAGGCUGGCGGAAGUCUGGCAAUGCUGGAUAGGAGCUCAGGGAUCAGAGCAGCUGGCUCGGACAUUGGUUAGGCAGCGGCGGCUGGAAUGGGGCUGGAGGAUGUGGCGCAGGCGGUGGCUGCAGCUUCAGGCGGCUCUGUGUUUGCGAGAAGACCACAGAGUCCUCUCUCAGGCCUUUGGAAGAUGGUACCAGCGCUGGGCAGCCCGGGUGCCCGGGAAAGGGAGCACGGGCCAGGGAUCAGGGGCCAGCGUCGUAUCCCAUUAGUCACAGCCCGUAGGAGUGGGGGGCAGGACCUGCUCAGCCGUCUCUGUCAGGGGAAGAAGUCCAGCCCUGCCCCCAUCCCAUUCUACCCACCAGGGCCGACAAAGAAAGUCCAGCAAACUCAUCUGAUAAAGUUUUAAUGAAAAAUAGCCUCGGGGCAGAAACCCUGCCUUUGACAGACAAUAAAGUACUAUUCCUUUCCCAGUCUUCUUCUAGGUUGAAUCUGUGCCCUGCAUUGGAGGGCCCAGCCUACUCUGGGCCAGAUUUGGAGCAAUAUAUUUCAGUUUAUAGGUGUGACCUUUAACCGGAGGGGACCAGAAACUUGCCAUGUGAUAGAAAAAACCCAAAACUUGGGGAUCCAGAACAUAACUACCUUCAAAUGCUUUUAUGGAGAGAAGGAAUGCGCCUCAGAGGGGGGGAGAGGAGAGAAGAGCUGGCUCCAGGCAGAUUUAAACUCGCCCCAAAGGCUGGGCGACUGCAGCCGAGACAGAGGCUUCCAAGUGGCCUGGGCUUGUAAGCAGAACUUGGGAUGCUCUAAGGGGAUCCUGUGUAGGCCAUUGGUCUAAAACGACCACCAAAGUCCCCCCGCUGUGAUCUGGGGAGCUCCCACCUCCAGGGUCGGUGCUGGCUGGAACUGGGGGGUCACCCUUCCCAGGUUCUGCUUUGCUGCAAGUUUCCUUCUGUCCACCCCCCUUUCCUCCCUAGCUAGGGUUUCUUUCUGCUGACCUAGCACAGGCUCUAAGACAGCUGAUCUCAGCUCUAGAAGGGGAGGGGGUGGAAUGGGAGUGGGGAGGAUGGAGAGAGGCCCUUAACCCUGUAGCUGCCAGAUUGCACGAUUGACCCAAGUGUCAUGGAAAGUGCUAGUUGCUGAUAUUCAUUCACACACGAGACAAACGAGGAGAGGAAGGAGCGGGUCAGACCUGAGCAUAGUAGAUAAAGAGGUAUAAAAAAAGCAGCAGAUAUCAGCCAGGGUCGGUCAAAAGGCCCCCUGAGAGAAUGCUGGCGGGCCCAGCAGGGAAGGAAAUGAGGGGCCCCAAAGCUUCCCAGCCACGUGACCGGCUCCUUUUGGUCUAGCACUGACCCCUUUGCCCUCCAGGGUCAUAGCUCUUCUCCUCCUCUACCUUCUAAGACCCCUGAAGAGGAAAAAGGGCCCCUAUAAAUGCUUUGGAGUAGCUUGAAACCCCAUAAGGCGUUUUGUUUCAGAAGGGGAGUCUGGAAACAAAGCAGCUUAUGAGGUUAGUGUAGUGCAGAGAGCCAGUCCUGGAAUCCAGAAGGCGAGAGGGAGAGUCCACCUUGGGAGUUUCCGGCCAGUCCAGAAAGUAAAAAUGCCAGUAAAUAUGGCAGCCUCGAACAAGGCUCCAGGGGAAGGGAAGCAUUGCUCCAUGGGAGGCAGAAGAGUUCCUGCUGAGCUCUGCUUUCACAGAUGGGGAAACCGAGGCAAAGCCCAGCAUCCCUGGGAGGAGGCGGGGCAUUUCCAGGCACGUCUGGGACUGACCCUGCUUGUGGCCAGUUCUUUGGAAGGCCAGCACUCCAGCCCUGUGUUCAGGCUCACUUCCCCUCCCCAGGAGAACUGAGCCACUGGCUCUCCACGGCCUGGAGCAGGGAUGUUGCAGGACGGAGUCACUCCCCAACAAAAGGGGGAAAUAGUAUACGUAGAGUGUGGGGGAAAUCCCACAGGCCUUGAUAGUGCGGAACAGACUCAGGGCAAAUCCAAGCACAGAGGGGUGACCAGUCAGCUGCCCCCCCUGGGGGAGUGAUGGGAGCCAGGGCGAGGGUGAUGGGAUGGGAUGGAGAAGAGAACACUGGAGAAUCCUCGAAGGAGGGGAGUGGGGGGAGAGGAGCCUGGGGAGCUCAGGAGUCAGGCUGAGGAGGGCAAUGGGGACGAUUCCCUGAGCUUCCCCGUCUCUCACUGAGGGUCAGGCCGGCUGAGGAGCUCAAAGGUGUCUUCUAGGACCUGCCACAAACAGUUGUCCAAGGGGAACUCGUUAUCCACUAGGUUGACCAGGUGAUAGUUGUCGUGGAUAUACUGGAUGAUCAUCCGCGAGGGGGAUUCCUCUUCAUACAGUUUCCCCCAUUGCUCAAUCCACAGGGCAAAGGCCUCAUCCUAGACACACAGAGGCAAGGUCAGUGGGAGCCGGGCUGGGGCUGGACAAGGGGCAGGGCCGGAGCCCGACAUCCCUCCUCUU